rnacentral:ribozyme from 12 species
UUUUUUUUUUUUUUUUUUUUUUUUUUUUUUUUUCACUGUUUA